GAAACCUCUGAAUUUUUAUUUGGUCACCUGACCUCAGUGGGAAUGGAGACCAUCUGCUUUCUGCCAUCAGUACAACACUGGUCAAAGGCCUUUUGUUUCUGCGCGCUGCUGAAAGUGCUGGGGACAUGGUCCCAGAGGACUUCUGCAAUAAAGAAAGAUUUUAAAGACAAAAUGGAAAUCACUGAGACUAAAUGAAACGGUAUUUAAUGGGAUACACCAGGGACCAGACUAAACCAGAGAAAAGAGCUCAGGAAGCUUACUGCUACCCCCAUUGCCCAGAAGCACAGAAUCUCAGAGCUGGAAGAGACCUCCAAGGCCUUUGCCUGAACAGGCAUCCCUUCCACAAAAUUCCUGACCAGUAGUCCUCCUUUCUGCCGCAUCUUGGAGAGUUCUUUUAUCCCUGCCCAUACGCCUCACACAGAAAGGACCGUCGUUAUCUGUGCUCCCUCCCUUCUACCGCUGACCUGGUGAUCCAGCUUCUCCCUUCUGUCCUGGGCCUCCAUUCUUCCCGUAUGCUGUCUUCCCCUCGUAGAAUGGCAGUUCUUUGAGGCCAGGGAUCAUCUUGCUCUUUUGGUGUUCAGUCAUUUUUUCAGUUGUGUCCAACUCUUCAUGACCCCAUUUUGGGUUUUCUUGGCAGAGAUGCUGA